UUACGGCCAUAUCCCGUUGAAGCACCGUUUCUCGCACGAUCGCCAAAGUUAAGCAACGUCGAGCCUGGUCAGUACCAAGAUGGAUGACCGCUUGGAAGUACCAGCUGCUGUAAG